rnacentral:tRNA from 1 species
UCCCUGGUGGCUCAGACGAUAAAGCAUCUGCCUGCAAAGCAGGAAACCCAGAUUCAAUCCCUGGGUCGGGAA